rnacentral:misc_RNA from 1 species
AACCAUUCUCACCUGCGGCUAGACCUGCGGAGGGAUCAUUACAGAGUUGAAAAACUCCCUAAACCCUUUGUUUAUAUACCUGUUCAGUUGCUUCGGCAGGCGGCCCCAGGGCGGGGCCUCCAGCCUGCUCACGCAGGUGCCUGCCGCUGGCGCACAAACUCUUGUUAUUUGUUACCAUUCUGAGUCUAAAAAAAAUGAAUCAAAACUUUUAACAACGGAUCUCAGAUCGGAAGAGCACAC